UGUUAACAUUCACGUAAAACAGAAUCAUUUAACAUUUACUGAAUCCUUUUUGAUAAUCAAUUUGGGAUCAAAUGCAAAAGAACAUGUGUCUGGCUUUGUAUGACCCCAGAUUCUUCCGUUUUCCCUUUGAGCAGAUGACAUGCCUUCUUUGCUGACUGAUAUGGGUUGCUAGGAGAAGUGCACUGGUCUGGUCCCCUCUUAUCCAGCAGUAAAACUAAAGAGUGUAUUGAGUAAGAGAAAGAGAGGCGGAACACGGUGCAGGCCAUGAAUCAUGACUUGUCUCCAAUAUGUCCACUUUGCUCCCAUUUUUUUCCCCUUUAAAAACUUUUGUUUUUACCAGUGAUGCUUUCUUUCAGCUGCUAUCUAUAAUCCUUUUGGAGCCUGAGGGAAAGAGGGCUACUAAAGGGAGGCUGUCUGCUAAGAGUCCACUCAGAGGCAUAAUAAAAGCCUUGAGAGUUAUUCAUGGGGCCACAUUAGUGAGAAUGCCCUACCCAGUGAAUAGCAUCAGUCAGCUGCUUUUGAAAUCGAGUGAUUAAUACCUUCUGUUUUUAAUGGGGGGGGAAAAGGCAGA
rnacentral:lncRNA from 1 species